rnacentral:rRNA from 1 species
AAGUAUUUUAAUUACAUCAUACUCGCCAGGGUACUACGAGCUUUAGCUUAAAACCCAAAGGACUUGGCGGUGCUUUACACCCACCUAGAGGAGCCUGUUCUAUAACUGAUAACCCCCGUUAAACCUCACCCUAUUUUGCCUAAUCAAUCUAUAUACCGCCGUCGUCAGCUUACCUUAUGAAAGAACAACAGUAAGCAGAAUUAGUAACAACCCAAAACGUCAGGUCGAGGUGUAGUUUAUAAUAGGGGAAGAAAUGGGCUACACUCAUUUAUUAAUGAAUACGGAUGGUAUAUUGAAACAUAAACCUAAAGGAGGAUUUAGCAGUAAGAAGAAAAUAGAGUGUUC